UCACUCUGGGACAAGCCCUGGAAACGGGGUCUAAUACCGGAUAACACUCUGUCCCGCAUGGGACGGGGUUGAAAGCUCCGGCGGUGAAGGAUGAGCCCGCGGCCUAUCAGCUUGUUGGUGGGGUAAUGGCCUACCAAGGCGACGACGGGUAGCCGGCCUGAGAGGGCGACCGGCCACACUGGGACUGAGACACGGCCCAGACUCCUACGGGAGGCAGCAGUGGGGAAUAUUGCACAAUGGGCGAAAGCCUGAUGCAGCGACGCCGCGUGAGGGAUGACGGCCUUCGGGUUGUAAACCUCUUUCAGCAGGGAAGAAGCGAAAGUGACGGUACCUGCAGAAGAAGCGCCGGCUAACUACGUGCCAGCAGCCGCGGUAAUACGUAGGGCGCAAGCGUUGUCCGGAAUUAUUGGGCGUAAAGAGCUCGUAGGCGGCUUGUCACGUCGGAUGUGAAAGCCCGGGGCUUAACCCCGGGUCUGCAUUCGAUACGGGCUAGCUAGAGUGUGGUAGGGGAGAUCGGAAUUCCUGGUGUAGCGGUGAAAUGCGCAGAUAUCAGGAGGAACACCGGUGGCGAAGGCGGAUCUCUGGGCCAUUACUGACGCUGAGGAGCGAAAGCGUGGGGAGCGAACAGGAUUAGAUACCCUGGUAGUCCACGCCGUAAACGUUGGGAACUAGGUGUUG
rnacentral:rRNA from 1 species